AUUAAUAUUACUGUAUGGUUCAUAUUUCCCUUUUCUGAAAUAUACAGAAAAAAUCUUUGUUGGCACUAGCAAUGAUAGGGAGCUCAAUUGGAUUGAGUCUGGAUCCCCAUAUAUUGUUGUUGUUAUGUGCCUUCAAAUUGACUCUGAUUUAGGAAUGUAUUCUCAUAAUGUGUCCUUGGCAACAUUUAUCCAUAGGAAGUUUGCCAUUGUCUUCAUCUAUGGCUGAGACAGCAUGGCCUAUCCAAGAUUUCCAUGGACGGGUGGGGAUUUGAACAUUAAUGUCUAAUGAUGAUGAUAAUGAUCAAUUUGUUACCCGCCCCUCCUUUUGGGUCUUAAGAGUCUUAAACCAGUACUCAGCUACUACACGAUGUUGGCUCCCUCAUCAAUCCCUGUCCUGGUUCUCUCAUUGAGCCUUGUGUCUUCCCACCAAUUCUCUUGAUGCCCAAUGCCAUGAAACUCCCUGAAACAAUUGUGAGGAAAUCAAUAAAUAACGACAACUAUUAUGCUGCUGAUGCUGAUGUAGUAAUUUCAAAAAGUAAUAGUGCCUGGAGUAUGCCACACUAUUCAGUGAUAUUCCUGAAUGGAAUUAUGAUGUUCUAAAACACUAGUGAAUAACGCCUGGGAACAACAAGACCAGAAGAAAACAGAUGUACAAGCACCAAAACAAUGCUCCUCCUCCUUUGCAUGUACACUCAAAGAAAGAUCUCAGCAGGGAGUUAAGCAAAACUUUUUUCUCUAUUUCUCCCAUGCUGUUUUGUUAUAGAUUAAAGGACCUUCAUUGCCAAUACAUCUGUGAUGUGCAUUGCUUUUAAAGAGGCCCUUCAUCCUACAUUUUGCUGAACAGGUUUGAGAAAAUGUAUGUAUUUGUGAUUGUUGAGGCUUUGUUUUUCCUGCCUGUCCUGUGAGCUGCAAUGAUCUUUGUAAUCCUUGUGUGGCAGAAAGUGGGUAAAUACCUCAUGCUUAAAUAUAAACUCAUUUAUUCAGUUAGUCAAAAAGGCUUUACACUUUUAUUUUAUUUUAAGAACCAAUGUACGAUUAAGUAAGGAAUAAAUUACCUGUGUGUGAGCCUGGAAGUUAGGAAAAGCAGCCAACAUUUGGAAAACAUAAGAAAAUGAGCAUGUCAGGCAGAAGGCUCUGAGGAUGCCUGCCAUAGAUGUGGGCGAAACUUCUGGAGAGAACACUUCCGGAACAUGGCCAUACAGUCCGGAAAACAUACAACAACCCUAGAUUCAGAUAAUGUCACUUUGACUUUCCAUAUGCAGGAAGCCCCUCUCCCCUAAGCAGCCUUCAGAAAUCAGCCAAGCAAACUGCUUCCUUUACAACAAAGGCAUACAAUCAAGGGAAGACUAUAACUACUAAGUUAUAGUAGUUUACCAUGUUGCAUGUGGACCCCUGAGCUUUAGCUUCAAAUGCAUUCUGAGUUAUGAACUCAUAGAAAUGCUUAGAAGUGUCACAAGUUCUCAGCCUCAUUUCACAGCCUCUACAACGGGAAUAACAACUACCCUUCAAAAAGUGUUUUACGUGAUGAACAGGAUAGAUUACAAAUUUCUUUGCAUGGUUGCAUGGUAAAUAUAAGUAAAGUGUUCUGUCUAUUCAGGAAAAUGUUCUGUUCCAUCUUUGACCCACGCAAAGCCAUGACAGAUGCCCUGAUGACUCCCAGAUGUAUUUCACAACUCUGACCUUUCACCUUGUGUUCACUUCAAUAUCUCUAAUGUUCUUGCUGACAUCUCCCUCUGGAUGUUUAAAUGACAUAUCACACUGAAUACUGUGAAGUUAGAACUCUCGUAAACCCUCCCAUUUCAUAUACUUCUGUGUUACUGUCAGAGUUAUAGUAUUUCUCCCCUUCUUGCUGGACAUUGUUAUUAGUCCUCUGACUCUCCCAUUCCUUCUCAGCCCACAUCCACAUUGCUGUCAAAUUCUGCAAUGUUCUUCUUUGCACAGUAUAACAAAUCCUUAAUCCAUUAUAUUGGCUGUUUCAUUGCUACAUUGCUACAUUGAAGCUUUUCUUGCUAUACCUGUUCCAAAUCCAUUCAUCCAAUGCUUUUGGGUUGCUUGUGAUUUUUUUUUUUUAAAUUUCCAUUAUUUGAAAUGUACAAUGCUUUUGACACAAAAUAAAUAAAUAACCUGUUCCAAAGCCAAUUGCUUCUCCCAGCUAGAGUAGACCCAUUAAAUUGAUGGGAUUUAUGUAAGCACUGACUCACUGUAUUCCCAUUGAUCUAAAGGGUCUUUUCCAGUUGAGACUAGCAACCUACUUUGGGGCCAAAUAGGUUUGCCUGAACAUUUAGCAUAAUGUCAGGAUCCUAGAGAGUGGGGAUCACUGGUAUAACAUUGCUGAAAUCAGUCUCUAUGACAUUUCAGUAGUAGCUGAUUAUUGCCACUGCCGACUAAAACAGCAUUACUCUACUUCAGUAAUUAAAGCCAUUUAUUUAACUGUUGACAUUCAUCUCCAAGGGUCAACACAAUGCAAUUGUAUGGGGCUGGAAGCCCAUAAAAUCUCUCCAUCUCCCAGUACCUCCCCGAAGAAAGCUACAUGAUUAGCUUUCCCUUUGGCUAACCUCCAGGGUGAGGCCUUCCUUUAAGUGGUUCAAGAAGAGGAACCCCAUUCUGUGAUUUCCAGAAAAAGUCCUCUCCCUGACCCAUGGCCCCCAAAAGACAGACCAGAGGUUAAACCUUCUCUUGUGAUUAAACCCUUUUGGGUACUUGCUGAUGUAUUCUGGGCUGCAGUUUCUCCUAAAAGUUCCUACUAAAUGGCUGCAUUUUUUUUUAAAAAAACUAUACCUUCCAAGCAAAUAGUCCUAAAAUUCUCAUCAUCAUUCAGUGCAGGGUAGAUAACCCCCACAAAUACAUAAAGCAUGGAUUCAUACACAAGGGCAAAAAAAUUCUACCCAACAUUUUGGUGAUCAGCAGAACCCCAUAUUGAUAGCUAGGGAAGGAGAGUAGUGCAGAUUCUGAACACAUACUCUUUGUGGGCUAAACAUUUGCAAACUCACAGUAUAGUAAGGAGGUGCAUUUUCACCUCCCCUACCCCCCAGCAAAGCACUCCCUACUUUGCACAGAAGCACAUGUGAAAAGUGGGAAAUCACAAGUGCUUUUCUACUGCUUUGUUCAAUUGCUGGUUCUCUCUUACUACCUCAUCACACAAUGAAUUUUUAGCAUCCUAGGAUGCUGCCACCCCAGUUGAAUGACAGAGCUCCACGCCGCUCAUCACAUAAUGUAGCCUCACUUCUGGAAGGGCUCAGUUGC
ensembl:lncRNA